GACGAACGCUGGCGGCGUGCCUAAUACAUGCAAGUAGAACGCUGAAGGAGGAGCUUGCUCUUCUGGAUGAGUUGCGAACGGGUGAGUAACGCGUAGGUAACCUGCCUGGUAGCGGGGGAUAACUAUUGGAAACGAUAGCUAAUACCGCAUAAGAGUAGAUGUUGCAUGACAUUUACUUAAAAGGUGCAAUUGCAUCACUACCAGAUGGACCUGCGUUGUAUUAGCUAGUUGGUGGGGUAACGGCUUACCAAGGCGACGAUACAUAGCCGACCUGAGAGGGUGAUAGGCCACACUGGGACUGAGACACGGCCCAGACUCCUACGGGAGGCAGCAGUAGGGAAUCUUCGGCAAUGGACGGAAGUCUGACCGAGCAACGCCGCGUGAGUGAAGAAGGUUUUCGGAUCGUAAAGCUCUGUUGUAAGAGAAGAACGAGUGUGAGAGUGGAAAGUUCACACUGUGACGGUAUCUUACCAGAAAGGGACGGCUAACUACGU
rnacentral:rRNA from 1 species